AGUCCACGUCACGCUAUCGAAUAUAAAUCCACAAGUAAGAAGAAUGAUAAAAAGUUAAAAACGUAUCUCUGUUCCCCUCUCCCUUUCUCAUCGAUCCUUCAACAGUAGAGAUAGCCGAAGAGAUGCUGGAGUUGUUCCUUCUCGGGUGCACCGGAGUUGUGGUGUUCCUUCACGGAGCCAAUUUUUUCUUCCGAGCUCUCUAUUCGCCUUUCUCCCUCCGCCAUAUCAGUUUCUUGGGAGCUGCUGGUUGGUAGAAGGCUAGAAGCGAAGCAAGAGUAAUGCUCCAUUUGUAAAUAUACCUAUCGUGAUUUAGGGAUCAAUUCUUUCUACCACUCUUUCCAAAAGUAAAUUCACAUUGUAUAAGUUCACAAUUUUGGCAAGAGUUCUACAAAGAAUUCAUAAAUCAGUCACUUUUUUUUUAAGUUUCCUGAUUUGAUAGAUUAUGCAUUUGUUGUACAUAUAUAUAACAAUCACUACCUUCAUCAUGUUAUUCUAUUUGUCUAUGUA